ACAGUAUAUAGUAAGUGCAUGGUUUGCGGGAGGCUUAUUCAGAGAAACUGCUGUCAGACAAACUGAAUGUAUCUUCGAAUCCAGGCCAGGAUCAAGGAGUUGUAAUGGAGGGACAAGGAUUUCAAGGUGCACUGAGGGUCAUGCUCCUUGUGUGUCUCCUUGGACUAACAAAAGAGUUUGAACUUGAGGACAAAGACUGGGACGAGUUGAGGUCUGAUGUGGCUGCGCUGCACAGAUUGAAAGGAUUACCUGAUCAAAUGACACGUAGGACCACAGGAGCAGACACCAGAGAGAUAACAAUGCACGGGACCAGGACAAAGAGAUUCAGCAAUUACAGGGCAUAUGUGGAGAAAAAGCCCAUGGCUUUAUUUGAUGGUCUUAGGGGAUGUGACCAUUUUACAACAUGCGUCAUUCAAAUGGACCAGGAUUUUGAAAGGUUUCUGGAAGAAAUUGAUAGACAAAAGAUCCAAGAUUUGCUGCUGUCUGCUUCUGAAAUGUCUUACACCUACAGCAACAAACUUCUCCUUAUAAUGGACAAGGAAGAGUGGACUCGUCAGCGAGUAGAAGAGGAGUACAGCAUAGAUCCUCAUUAUUCAGUAAUGGUCAGUGAUGCUUGUAUGUACAAUGAUUCAUGUCUCCCAACCGUUAACAGUGGCACAGUUGUGAAGAUAUUUGGUACUGCCUCAGAGGAUGGACAUACUCUGUCCGGUUACUCUGGUUCCUCACUAGCAAAUCUAAUGUUGACACCAUCAUUGAGAUCAGCAUCCGUUUUCUCCCUUGACAUCAAUACCACUUCUUCAUUUCAUAAUGACUUCAUGAGGGUUUUUAAGUAUCAUGACAAUAAUGCUGUCUUGGAAACUACCAGCCCGGGAGAUCUUCUCAUCUUUCAAAUCAUGGAUCACACUGACACUGCAGCUGAGUACCAUGCUCCAAAGAGACACAUUGAUCACACCACACAGUAUGAUAAACAGCACAUCCUAAUACUGGAAGAUAACCCCAUUGUUCGGGAAGCUGCUAAAUUUCUAUAUGAGAAACAUCCCACUGUGACCUCUGUGUACAUCCUGGAAAACCAACAGCCUAAACUGAUCAAAGGUGACCCGGUGCCACUGUCAGAAGAGAGCAGACUGGUCCUUGUAGGCCAUGGGAGCAGAGACAGCGAAGGAGAGAUGAGGGUUGGAGGGUACAAAGCCGAAGACGUGGCUGACAUCAUUGGACGUACUGCCAGGACUAGUGACCAUAUUAAAACCACAAGUGUGGUGGCCUGUGAAGUUGGGUCUGAUGAAGCCUUCAAGAACACCCUGUUAAAAGAGCUCCACACCAGGUCUAUUGAGACAGAACUACACCUAAGGAGUUCUUUGCUCCAAGUCAGCCACUCUGGGGAGAAGAUAACUGUAGAAAUAACCCCCACUGGAUUGGAAACAAAACAUAAGGAUGACAGCAAGAAAGUGGUGGCAAUGUUAGACAGAGAUGGAAAUGUCGUCACUAGAGAACAGUUCAGCAACAGGGGGGAAGGGAUUUUUUCAAAUGAGAGAAACUUUCUAGGGGAAACUUCUGUUCAAGAACGUUUUAAAAAAUACAGAGACACAUGGCCAGACAAUCCAAAGAGAUUUGUUGAAUCUUAUGCACGUAGAAAAUAUACUAAUGAACUUGAAGCUUUAACCUGGGCAAUUUUUGAACCAAUGAAAAGUGAUAAAAAUUCAAAAAAGUUACAGACAAAUUUGGACAAUGAAGAGUUUCGGAUCUGCAAUAUUGAGAGGCAAAUGGUAAACAGAAGAAAUACAAUAAAGGAGAAAACAUGGAUUGAAGAUAACAACGUCAUUAAAGGUAUUCUUGAUAACUGCUAUGAAAUGAAGUCAGGUGAGGAUAUCCUAAGUGUGAUCCAUCACAAUGCAAAGCUUGGAGAAGAUAAGACCACCUACCUGAUGUUACAUGACUGGAUUUAUGAGAUAAACCCCCAAUCUUUAUAUGUGUUUCCAGUGGGGAAAAAGCUUGACAACAAUGAAAAGGGAAAUCAAAACAGAAUAGAUGAGAUAAAACGUUGUGUUGAGGAACAGAUUGGCAAAGAACAUUAUCCAGCCAUCCGUGAAAAUAUAGGAGAUGGCAAAGAAAGUUAUCCUAAUUUUGUGAAAGAAACUCUUCAGGGGGAAUACAUUAAUAAAGGCUCACAAGGUAUGAUGAAGGAGGCAUGGUACAGAACAUAUUUCAUGGCAUCAAUAAUAUCAGAGUCCUCCAGAAAUUUCCGUACAUUUCCUCUUGUCCUGAUGGCCUUAGAUAUGGCCCACAGCACAGACAAUAAUGUGAAAGACAAAGGUUUGAGUUUCCUCAUGGAGAAUCAUCCAAUGGCAGCAGGUGGUUCUUGGGUGGAUCCAAGUAGGCGAGGAUUUUUCGGUUCGUCCUCAGACAUAGAUUCUAGCAAAUUAAAAAACAUAUUAAAAUAUAAACGUAAGAUCCCAGAGGAAUUACAAAAGGAUCUUAUGGACCUUACAGAAAAAGAGAAUAAUGUGUUUGAAGAAUGGUGGAAAUGGAAAAAAAUGGAUAACAACAAGGUAGAAGAUGAGAUCUACAAACUUGCAAAUGAGUAUGCACUUGUGAAUGAGAUUUCUAAAAGUUCAUUCAUAAAGGAUUAUAGUCAUUUCUUAAAUGAAAUUGGUAAACAAUCAACCCUAAAUGAGGUCACUGGACUUUUGGGUGGGUCCCAUGAUGGCUCUGUGACAUUGAAAGAUCUACAUUCUGCUUCAGAAGUAGAGCAUUCACUCAAGCUCUCUUCGUAUUACGCCAGGUCCUCUGCUAUGUUUGCUGAACAGAUUCACAAUCAGUUGAGGAGAGAAUUUGGUGACAGGCUGGACUCGGAGGGACUACAUGUCAAAGAAGGCAGUAUUAGGCUGGAGGAUGGACAAUUUCGUUGCCAGCUUACAUCGAAGAAGAAUCUCCGGGAAACAAUUGAAUUUAAGGUGGAGUUGCAUCCAGGGGGACAACUAUACACAGAGAAAAUGUGGAAAAACAUGGAGACAGUUCAUGGCCUGGAGAUUCCAGAUGGGACCCAUUCUCACCAGGUCUCGAAGCACCUAGAGCACACAGGGAUGGCAAUUGGAGCAGUGGGACUCAUGUUGGGGAUGCAAGGAGCUGUUCAUGCUUUUGAAGAGGGAGACAUUGAACAUGGUACAAUAGCCACGUUACAGACUGUACAUGGAGUCACAGGAAUGACCUUGGCUGCAGUUGGUAAACAAGUUCCUCAGGUUUUAGAGCGCAAGGCAAUGAGAGCCAUGGUAACAUUAAUCAAAAGCCCUGUGGUGAAACGUGCCCUGGUAGUUAUGCCAAUCAUAGGGAUUGGUUUUGGAAUUUACAAUAUUGUGGAAGACUUUAAGAGGAAAGAUGCACUGGGGUAUAUUGAUGCCACCUUCGAUGCUGCAAUAGUUGCCUUGGAUUUUCUUGAAAUCGGUCAACCAGAACUUGCGCCAUUAAUUGUGCCAAUCAACCUGGCACUAAAUACCAUACGAAUGAUCUUUGAUGAUGUAUAUCUUGAUAUUCAGACUGAACUCAUUCAUUUACCACCAAAUGCUGGAGUUUUGGCAAAAAUAAGAGCAUUCUUUGUUGGCUUUGGGAAAGGACUUUUACACUUUAUCCUUGAUGUGGCAAGCUUUUUUUAUACCAUUCCUUAUCGUGAGAUUGAGGAGGGACGAAGGCUUGUUCAACAAAUUUCAGACCACCAAAAGUACUAUUAUUUUGCAGAGGUACAGGAUGGGAGAAAGGCCAUUGAUUUCACAGCUGGUGAGGAUUCUUGGAAUGGAGGGAGUAUCACUUUUUGUCUCUCAGACCAGGGAUCAUCUGACUUCUGCAUGGAUUAUUUUGUAUCCAGUGACGAAAACUCGGGAAAAAGGUGUUGGACUAUUGACACACAAGGAACUAAAGACAUUGUUCUAGGCAUUGGAGAAUCACAUAGAUUAACUUACAAAAACAUAGAUAUAAAAAUACUCCUAUUCAUAAAAGUUGGCUCUAUGUCUGUCGUUUCUGGUUAUGAGGCUUUGUCAGACACAAGAUUUGGAACAUAUUGGGGAAACAAUGAAGCAAAUAAUUUUUUUGCCGUUCAGAAGGCAGAUGACGACCAUGGCAUUGAAGUCAUGUUGAGCUAUUACUACAAGCUUUAUGGAAAAAAUGGUGAUGACGUGUUCUAUUUGGGACCUCAAAAAAGCUAUGUGGAGGGGUGUGGCGGCAAAGACACUUUCAUCAUUCCUGUCUAUGGAGGAAACACGAUUAUUAAUAACUAUGAUCCUUUCAAAUCAACAGAUGUCCUACUCCUUGGCGUUAACUACAGUCAGAUUUCUGUCAGUAAGUCAGGAAAUGAUAUUGUUUUAAGAUAUCUUGGUAACCAUAACAUUAGGAUUAUGAACUGGUUUUUGGGGGACGAAUAUCGCCACAUGAACAUGAUGUCAGAGGACGGAGUCCUGUUCGACAUCUCCACCACAGUGAUUUCCUCUGUCCAACUGAUUGCCAGAGGUAUCAAUAGAAUGUCUAAAACUCAUGGCCAGACAGUGAACGCUUCCGAACCACUUCUCCUUAGCGUUACUAAUAUCAUGGGGUCUCCUUACAAUGACAUACUAAUAGGAAAUAGACAGAAGAACCUGAUUGAUGGUGGAGGGGGUCAGGACCACCUGAGGGGAGGAGAAGGAGAGGACAUAUAUAUGGUUUAUGAGAAAAAACUGACAAAGAUAUUCAUUGAAAAUCACUCCUAUGACAAUGAAACAGACAUACUGGUGAUAGAGGCAAACCUUCAUGAAUUCAAAGUUAAAGUGGAUGGAAACCAUCUCAAACUGAUGCCUUUUGCUGAUCAAAGUUUUGAUGUGACCUUAAUGAACUGGUUCCGUUCAGAAGCGGACAGGCACUUGCUUGUUAUCACAAAGGAUCUGGUCACCUUCAGCAUCUCUGAGAACAAGGCAGCCUGUGAGCAGAUUGACUCAUUUAAGAGCAAAUGCCUCAUAAGUCAGAAUCUAGAUUACAGAAAGUCCACAGCUGCUCUACAUGUGGAUCUGCAGGAGGAUGAGGCUUUCCAAAGUGUAACAGAGGUGCGAGGCUCAGCCUUCAAUGACAUCAUCAAAGGGAACGUACAACGCAACACAAUUGUGCCAGGGCGAGGAACAGACUUUCUUCAGGGGCGAGGAGGGGAGGACUGGUAUGUUGUAACUCCAGGACAAGGCUUGAAAACCAUUGAGAACCACUCACCCGAUCUGGCUACUGAUGUACUUUUCCUGAGAGAAAAAUAUGAUUUCAUCAAUUGUAAAUGUAAUGGACCAGACAUUUAUCUCUCCAUAAAUGGCUCAGAGGAAGUCCUAUUGAAGGGCUGGUUUCACUCAAGGAACUCUCAACACCUCCACAUCCAAUCAGCUGAUGGAAUAACAUUUCAACUGGAGUCCAAUGCCAGCAGUUGCGAUGGCUCCUUAAAGCUGCCUCAGUCUGUGGAUUUCCGAAAUAGGGUGACUGGAGAAAUCAUGAAGAUGAAUAACAGCGACUUUGCCUCAGUGGUGGAAAUGUAUGGCUCAUCUGGUUUCGACAGCAUGGAAGGAAAUGACAAAAAUAACAUGCUGGAUCCUUUUACUGGAGGUGGUAGCAUGGUGGGAGGAGAUGGGAAGGAUACCUAUGUAGUGAACACUGGAUAUGGAACCAAUAUCAUGAUUGAAAACUUUGCAGAGGAUGAAAGAAUGGAUACUGUGUUGUUUGAGAUGGAUUUCCUUGGUGGUGGUCAACUCACAGUUCAGUCUGACAAGCAUGAUGUACUUGUGAGCACAGGUACACAGGGGCAUAAAAUUCAGGUCAGAGUGCUCAACUAUAAUUCAGGGCAACAACACCAACAUCUUAGCUUCCAGAGCUCUGAUGGAGUGCAUUUUUGGGUUAGAUCUCCAGUUGGAAACAAAACGCGUAGCUUUCAAAAGCCUUGGAUUGAAGCUUACAAAGUGACAAUGAAAGGAAAACUGGGAGACUGCCAAAUAGAUCUGAGUUCUCAAUCAAAUUUAUCAUUGGUUCACACUGUGCAGGGCUGUCCCCAUGACUCCAAUUACAUUACAGGUAAUGAGCAGGAGAACGUACUCUUCGGUGGCAUCAAGAUUGAUGUACUGGAUGGAGGGGCCGGCCAUGACACCUUGCUGGGGGGUCAGGGCAAUGACAUCCUGAUUGGGAACAUAGGAGAUGACACUCUUUAUGGAGAGGAAGGGAGUGACACCAUGAUGGGUGGCUCAGGCUCUGACACCUUCGUUCCCGGACCAGGGGCUGAUCUAGUGGACGGGGGCCCAGGGAGAGACACUGUGCUGUACCAGGGGGAUCAUGAGAGGGGUGAGGGCGUUUACGUCAACCUGCUGAGCGGAGAAUGCCGUCAGGCAGAUGCUGAGGGAGACGUGUUGAAGGAUGUUGAGAAUGUGAUUGGCACUAUCUACUCAGAUAUCUUGGUGUCUGGCUACGAACCUGCCCUACUAAAAGGCUCUGACGGCAACGACAUUCUAGUGUCCCUUGUGGGAGGAGAUUACUUGAUUGGAGGAGAGGGAAGUGACAUUUACAUGAUGGUUUCCCACCAUGGCUCAGUGAUCAUAGACAACUGUGCCACAGAUAAUGCCACGGACAUUGUGUACCUGCGCUCUCUGUCUGAGAAGUCUGUUGACUGUUCAUAUCUACUUGACGGAGUGUUUCUGACAUUUUAUGGACUCGGCGACACUACUGUUGACAUAGAGCUGCGAAACUGGGUCAACUUCAGUCAUGAGUGUGGCCAUCUUAUGCUGGUCCUCAAUGAGGGUGAAAUAUCUGUAGAUGAACUCAUGCAGGAGUGUGAGUUGAGAUAUCACAUGCAAAGAGUCGUGGCAACUGUUACAUUAAUCCUUCUACUUUGUGUUUUACCUGGCAUUAUUUUGGUAAUAGCUUUGGUCCAUAGAAAGAGGAAGAGGGGACAAGGAGGGAAAGACAGCAGUGAUAGAGCUACUGAAAUGGGGAAAGACACAAUAGAAGUGCGAGAAGAGGACGCACCUCUCCAGGGCUUAACUUCUCAACCUAAAGUAGAGGAAGAAGAAGGAAGAGAAGGAAACUGAAUGAGAACGAUAGACAUUCAGUAACUCAGGACAGGACCUCAGAGGAUGUAGAGGGGACAAGUGAGUGAACGACACCCUCAUAAAUAGUUUGGAGAACGAAAACAGGGGGGCAAAAGAUAUAACCACAUGGCAUAAAGUACUAACCAACUCCCUCCACUUAAUAUCAAGCAAAUGUAACCUGACCAAUGGUUUUAUGUUCAUCUCUUACUAAACACAGCUAUGAAUACCUAACUACAGUAUCAGAACUAAUCACUGUUCAUAAAUAAUCACUUCUUGUUAUUAUAUCCUUAUAUUAUACAAAAAUGGCUACUCUGUCUGGAAAUUUAAAAAUGGACAAAUAUCAUGUUUAAAUCAAUGAAAUGUUAAUAAAAUGCAAAGCUCAAUCUUUUUAAAACUUAUUUCUACCCUAUUAUACAUCUAUGCUUGAAUUGACCAGUUUCCUUGCAGCUUGGAUGUGGCAUGUGUUGAACUGAACAGCAGAUGACAGUAUUGGAAAGCCUAGCACUAGUGGUUUGUAAAAAGAUGUGACUCACACAGAGCCUUUAGAAAAUAGAACCUAAUCAUCCGAGGCAUCCAGUUGUCGCCAAGGUAACUUUUCAAGUCAGUCCACCACACUACAGCAUGUCAUUAAUUAUUUAGGAAAAUGAAUAUAAAACUUGUAUAAACUGCAUUUUUAAUUAUAUGACAAUAUUUUAUGUUUUAUCUCCAAUAGAGGUCACCCGAUUAAUCGGGAAUGACCGAUUAAUUAUGGCCGGUUUCAAGUUUUCAUAACAAUGGGUAAUUGUAUUUUUGGACCGAUUUGCCGAUUAUUCUUUUUUUACACCUUUUUAUAAGAAAUUCAUGUUAGCAGGCACUAUUAACUAAGUAUGUAGGUUUAAAAAUAUAUACUUCUGUGUUGAUUUUAAAGAAAGGCAUUGAUGUUUAUGGUUAGGUACAUUGGUGCAAUGACAGUGCUUUUUUCCAAAUGCGCUUGUUAAAUCAUCACCGUUUGUCGAAGUAGGCGCAUCGAUUAUAUGCAACGCAGGACACCCUAGAUAAACUAGUAAUAUCAUCAACCAUGUGUAGUUAACUAGUGAUUAUGUUAAGAUUGAUUGUUUUUUAUAAGAUAAGUUUAAUACUAGCUAGCAACUUACCUUGGCUUCUUGCUGCCCUCACGUAACAGGUAGUCCCUCGUGGAGUGCAAUGUAAGGCAGGUGGUUAGAGCGUUGGACUAGUAACCGGAAGAUUGCAAAAACAAAUCCCAGAGCUGACAAGGUAAAAAUCUGUCAUUCUGCCCCUGAACAUGGCAGUUAACCCACCUUUCCUAGGCCGUCAUUGAAAAUAAGAAUGUGUUCUUAACUGACUUGCCUAGUUAUAAUUAGGGAAAUUGUGUCACUUCUCUUGCGUUCUGUGCAAGCAGUCAGGGUAUAUGCAGCAGUUUGGGCCACCUGGCUCAUUGCAAACUGUGUAAAGUCCAUUUAUUCCUAACAAAGGCCAUAAUUAAUUUUCCAGAAUUGUCCAUAAUUAUGACAUAACAUUGUAGGUUGUACAAUGUAACAGCAAUAAUUAAACUUAGGGAUGCCAUCCGUUAGAUAAAAUACGGAACGGUUCCGUAUUUCACUGAAAGAAUAAACGUUUUGUUUUCUGAAUGAUAGUUUGCGGAUUCGACCAUUUUAAUGACCAAAGACUCGUAUUUCUGCGUGUUAUUAUGUUAUAAUUAAGUCUAUGAUUUGAUAGAGCAGUCUGACUGAGCGAUGGUAGGCAGCAGCAGGCUCGUAAGCAUUCAUUCAAACAGUACUUUCCUGCGUUUGCCAGCAGCUAUUGUGCUGUUUAUGACUUCAAGCCUAUCAACUCCCGAGAUUAGGCUGGUGUAACCGAUGUGAAAUGGCCAGCUAACGCUAAUAGCGUUUCAAACGUCACUCGCUCUGAGACUUGGAGUAGUUGUUCAAACGCUGCUUCGAGGGUGACUGUUUUCGAUGUGUUCCUGAUUCGAGCCCAGGUAGGAGCGAGGAGAGGGACAGAAGCUAUACUGUUACACUGGCAAUACUAAAGUGCCUAUAAGAACAUCCAAUUGUCAAAGGUAUAUGAAAUACAAAUGGUAUAGAGAGAAAUAGUCCUGUAAUUCCUAUAAUAACUAUAACCUAAAACUUCUUACCUGGGAAUUUUGAAGACUCAUGUUAAAGGAACCACCAGCUUUCAUAUGUUCUCAUGUUCUGAGCAAGGAACUUAAAUGUCAGCUUUAUUACAUGGCACAUAUUGCACUUUUACUUUCUUCUCCAACACUUUGUUUUUGCAUUAUUUAAACCAAAUUGAACAUGUUUCAUUAUUUAUGAGGCUAAAUUGAUUUUAUUGAUGUAUUAUAUUAAGUUAAAAUAAGUGUUCAUUCAGUAUUGUUGUAAUUGUCAUUAUUACAAAUACAUUUUAAAAAUUGGCCGAUUAAUCGGUAUCAAGGUUUUUUGGUCCUCCAAUAAUCGGUAUCGGCGUUGAAAAUUCAUAUUCGGUCGACCUCUAAUCUCCAAGGCAUUCCUAGUCGAUCACCAAACAUUUCUGUAAAAAACAACGAUAAAGCCUUGCGUUCCUAUUUUUUUAAAUUAAUUUCACGCUGUUGGUGGUAGGUGCAGCCCUAGUGUCGGAAAGACAAAGUGUUCCCAUUUUUAACCAUUUCAUGUGUCUGAAGGAAUAACUCCACCUACCCAGCAGGCCCAGAGAACAAAUCAAUUGCACCUAUAGGCCUACCUUGAACGCACAGCAAAGUUGAUACUGUGAGAUUUCAAAACUUUUAAAACCAUGACGAGGAAGACUCCACGGAUACAGCAAAGAGCUGCUGUUUUAUGUGUAAGUUCAUGUUUAAGUUGUUAUUCAGCACUGUAAACACUUUGUUCAACACCUUUUUAAGCCAUAAAAUGUGAGUUCUCCCUACUUCCACACGCUACAACCAGCACUGUAUAUAUCAAUGUCACUCUUGCUGCUGGUGUCACGUUCUGACCUUAGUUCCUUUGUUAUGUCUUUGUGAGUUGGGAUGGGUAGUCUAUGUUCUUUUUUCUAUGUUGUGGUUUUGUGUUUGGCCUAGUAUGGUUCUCAAUCAGAGGCAGGUGUCGUUCAUUGUCUCUGAUUGAAAAUCAUACUUAAGUAGCCUUUUCCCACCUGUGUUUUGUGGGUGAUUAUUUCCUGUUUAGUGUUUUUUCCAUUCACCUUACGGGACUGUUCGUUUGUCGUUUAUUGUUUUGUCCAGUGUUCAGUUAUUUUACUAAAAAUAUGAAAACUUACCACGCUGCGCUUUAGUCCUCACUUUCUUCCACCACAGACGAUCGUUACAGCUGGUGAUUCUCUGAUCCACCUCUACGCAGACAACACCAUUCUGUAUACAUCUGGCCCUUCUUUGGACACUGUGCUAAGAAACCUCCAAACGAGCUUCAACGCCAUACAACACUCCUUCCGUGGCCUACAACUGCUUUUAAUUAAAUGCUAGUAGAACUAAGUGCAUGCUCUUCAACCGAUUGCUGCCCGCACCUGCCUGCCAGACUAGCAUCACUACUCUGGACGGUUCUGACCUAGAAUAUGUGGACAACUACAAAUACCUAGGUGUCUGGUUAGACUGUAAACUCUCCUUCCAGACUCACAUUAAGCAUCUCCAAUCCAAAAUUAAAUCUAGAAUCGGCUUCCUAUUUUGCAACAAAGCCUCCUUCACUCAUGCUGCCAAACAUACCCUCGUAAAACUGAUUAUCCUAUCCUCGACUUUGGCGAUGUAAUUGACAAAAUAGCCCCCAACACUCUACUCCGCAAACUGGAUGUAGUCUAUCACAGUGCCAUCCGUUUUGUCACCAAAGCCCCAUAUACUACCCACCAAUGUGACCUGUAUGCUCUCGUUGGUGGGCCCUCACUACAUAUCCGUCGCCAAACCCACUGGCUCCAGGUCAUCUAUAAGUCUUUGCUAGGUAAAGCCCUGCCUUAUCUCAGCUCACUGGUCACCAUAGCAACACCCACCCGUAGCAUGCGCUCCAGCAGGUAUAUUGCACUGGUCAUCCCCAAAGCCAACACUUCCUCUGGCCACCUUUCCUUCCAGUUCUCUGCUGCCAAUGACUGGAAUGAAUUGCAAAAAUCUCUGAAGCUGGAGUCUUAUAUCUCCCUCUCUAACUUUAAGCAUCAGCUGCUUACCAAACAAUGUACACAGUCAAUCUGCAAAUAGCACAUCGAACUACCUCAUCCCCAUAUUAUUACUUACCCUCUCGAUCUUUUGCACCCCAGUAUCUCUAAUUGCACAUCAUCUUCUGCACAUAUCUAUCACUCCAGUAUUAAUGUUAAAUUGUAAUUAUUUUGCCUCUAUGGCCUAUUUAUUGCCUGUGUUGUUGUUUUUGUCGCACUGCUUUGCUUAAUCUUGGCCAGGUCGCAGUUGUAAAUGAGAACUUGUUCUCAACUGGCCUACCUGGUAAAAUCAAGGUGAAACAAAAAUAAAUAAUAAAUAAACGCAAGCUGCAAUGAAUGAGUAUAGCAAAGUAUUAGUGACUUGUCUUUUUUAAUUUCAAGGAAUAUUUCACUUUCUCUGGU
ensembl:lncRNA